rnacentral:lncRNA from 1 species
UGGAGGCUGAUGUAAUAAUCUUCUAAAUUAUUUUUCUAGGUAGUUUAAUCACGGACAUCUUUUAAUCCUGUCAACUUUACUGUCUCUGGGAUAGUUUGUGACAUUGAAGAAUGCUAUCAAUUUACAUACAACUUGAAUGCAAGAUUAGGAAGAAAUGGAGGAGGUUAAGACAAAGAAAAAUCUCUGCCACGGUCUUGAAGAAACAAAACUCCAAUGUACCAUGUUUCUCAGCAGAAUAUCUCAUCUCUGGCAGACCUAUGGUGGAAAUGGCAGGUGGAGAAAAUGAGGCCCAAGGAGACUGACGGUCUGAUUUUUCAGCGGUACUGGGAUGGGUGCCUGGCAUUGCUGAGAAUCCGACAAUAAGUGAUUGCUCCAAGGCCACACAGCAAGUCAGUGGCAGUGGGGAGAAGAAAUUCAAUUCUGGCUCUCGGUCUUUUGAGCAAACCACCAGAUGACACUUAAAAAGCACUUUUGGGGAUGAAAAUACUAUAUAAUUAUUGCUUCCAAUAUAAAUAUUUUCCUCUUAAAGUAAAGCUUUUCUUUUUUAUUACCGCUGACUUUAUUAAGCCCAUGUGAUCGUCUUUGUUUAAGCUGUUACAGUGCAGAUCAUUGAAACCAUGUAAAACAUUUGGGCUUUGCAUGCAAAAUGUGUGUAGUUAAAAUAUAUUAUUCGCUCUUGUGAAACAUUUUCUUUUAAAAAUAUUUCUCUGCAAUUCAUAUACACUUAAACAAACAAAUCAAAACACACACACACACACAGAGAAGUAUUUUUAAAUUACCUGCUCAACCACAAGCAUCUCCCAGAAAUUAAAACUCUUGUGGCUUACAUUGUGACAGAUGAAUCCUGGACAAUGUCAUGCCCAAUUUUAAUCUCAGUAUCUCCUUAGGUAGCUUUUUUAAUUGCAAAAAUUUAAACAGCCUGAAGUGAAAUAUUACCGGCUUCCUCCUUUAGGCCAUUUUUUAUAAUGGGUGUCAGUUUAUGCCAGUAAAGUGUUGGUGCAUUGUUUGUACCUGUGGACUUUUGCUACUGAACAUGGCAUAUGGUAGGAUCAGGCAAGAGGGCAAAAUGAUAGGCAGUGCAUGAAAUCAGUAUGUCAGGGGAAAUCCCUUAAUAAUCCAGAUGUGAAAGAGAAAGCAAGAGCAGAGGUAACAGCUAGCUAGAAAAGCUGAAAGCAGAUGGCCAAGAAAUCUUUAGCUUUUUGUCAUAAAACAAUACCAUUAGUAUGUUAUUUGUAACUAUUAAGAGCCUGGCGAGGUGAUCCUGCAAAUGCCAGGAAAUGCAAUGAGCCUGAAGUUUAGUUG